GCCUACGCCUUCGUGAAUGAAUGGGCCCAUUUCCGCUACGGUGUGUUUUAUGAGUACGGGCGCUUGGGACACGAGAAGUACCCUAUGUCCUACUGCCCGUGUUGUAAUAAGGAAGUGGUACGUUGGAACUCGUGCUCGGAUAGGAUUGAGCAUUCUAUUCUUAAUGAAAAUAUAUGCGUAUAUCACGACGGCUGUUAUGCCACUGAAGAUUGCGUGGUCGUGGCAACUCAACCAGAACGAGAUCCCGUUGAAUCGUCGCUCAUGUUCCUUCCACGACUCGAGAAUAUAAAGCAUUUUUGUAACUCGGAGAAGGAAAGCCACAGACACAACAAGUUCGCACCUAACUUGCACAACGAGAUCUGCGAAGGCCAGUCUACCUGGGACGUCAUCAGGCAGAACGAAGAC